ACAUACGGGGCUUAAGUCUUUGUAAAUUGGAUGAUGGGAAUUUAAACCUCUUCCAGAGUAACAAUUGGAGGGCAAGUCUGGUGCCAGCAGCCGCGGUAAUUCCAGCUCCAAUAGCGUAUAUUAAAAUUGUUGCAGUUAAAAAGCUCGUAGUUGAAUUUCUGCUGUAUUGCAUUUUCUCUUUUUAUAUGAGUUUUUGCAUUAUGGCUUAUUUCAGUAUUAAUUUUUUAUUAUUACUGAAUGUUUACUUUGAGAAAAUUAGAGUGCUCAAAGCAGGCUUUUGCCUUGAAUAGUUUAGCAUGGAAUAAUAAAGUAGGACUUUGGUUCUAUUUUGUUGGUUUUAGGUACCAAAGUAAUGGUUAAUAGGAACAGUUGGGGGCAUU
rnacentral:rRNA from 1 species